AUUGAACGCUGGCGGCAUGCCUUACACAUGCAAGUCGAACGGCAGCACGGGGGCAACCCUGGUGGCGAGUGGCGAACGGGUGAGUAAUGCAUCGGAACGUGCCCCGUAGCGGGGGAUAACCAGUCGAAAGACUGGCUAAUACCGCAUACGCUCCACGGAGGAAAGCAGGGGAUCGCAAGGCCUUGCACUAUGGGAGCGGCCGAUGCCCGAUUAGCUAGUUGGUGAGGUAAAGGCUCACCAAGGCGACGAUCGGCAGCUGGUUUGAGAGAACGACCAGCCACACUGGGACUGAGACACGGCCCAGACUCCUACGGGAGGCAGCAGUGGGGAAUUUUGGACAAUGGGCGCAAGCCUGAUCCAGCCAUGCCGCGUGGGUGAUGAAGGCCUU
rnacentral:rRNA from 1 species